rnacentral:rRNA from 1 species
AUUGAACGCUGGCGGCAUGCCAUACACAUGCAAGUCGAACGGCAGCACGGGGGCAACCCUGGUGGCGAGUGGCGAACGGGUGAGUAAUGCAUCGGAACGUGCCCAGUAGUGGGGGAUAACCAGUCGAAAGACUGGCUAAUACCGCAUACGACCUACGGGUGAAAGCGGGGGACCGCAAGGCCUCGCGCUAUUGGAGCGGCCGAUGUCGGAUUAGCUAGUUGGCGGGGUAAGAGCCCACCAAGGCGACGAUCAGUAGCUGGUCUGAGAGAACGACCAGCCACACUGGGACUGAGAAACGGCCCAGACUCCUACGGGAGGCAGCAGUGGGGAAUCUUGGACAAUGGGCGCAAGCCUGAUCCAGCCAUGCCGCGUGCGGGAAGAAGGCCUUCGGGUUGUAAACCGCUUUUGGCAGGAACGAAACGGCGACUCAUAACACGGGUCGUUAAUGACGGUACCUGCAGAAUAAGCACCGGCUAACUACGUGCCAGCAGCCGCAGUAAUAC